GCCGUCAUGGUGGAAUAGGUAGACACAAGAGACUUAAAAUCUCUCGUCCUAGGGCAUCCCGGUUCGAGUCCGGGUGGCGGUACCA
rnacentral:tRNA from 1 species